CUUUGAGCAAGAUGUGGAGAUAGGCCCAAGAAUAAUAAAUUCUUGCAAAUUUCCUUACUAUGAAACGACAGCCCAUCAUAAAGAUCAAACACCAAAUGAUUAAUAUCAAUGAAAAUAGAGUAUAAGCCCACUAAAGAUGACAAAUUAUUGGAGCAAAAAGAAUAAUAUUUGCCCAGUGAAAUAAAUCUAUAGGCCCAAUUCAAAUUGCAGCUAACUAUAUGGAAGAUAAAUAUAAGAGUUGAAUAGUGUCCAGCAAACCCAAUCAAAGUCAUAUAUUUAGAGAAGCUAGAGAGUAAUGAGGCCCAAAUAAGAAUAGAGCAGCCCAACUUCUUUGUGAAUUUUUUCCGUUUCCAAACCCAGAUUUGCAAAUAAAGCCCAUGUAUUAUCUUCUCCCAACUAAAUAGGCCCAAAACAUAGGCACGUGAACCCCUGAACCCCUCAUGAUUUGAAGAGAGAAUUGAUUUGCAUAAUAUUUGGAAGAAAGACGGCUUGCUGCAAAACUAUUGCGUGUGUCAGGGAAAAGUUUACCUUACCAUUAAUGCUUGAAGUACCUCUGUGCCGACCUCUAAAAUAGAUGAACAGACUGGUCUACAGAGGAAGUUUUCAUAGUGAUUUAAAUGGUGGAAAACAUUUCGACGGCCACUGCCGGAAGGGGUGCCGAAGACAAAAUGUUAACCAAUGAUCAAAAAGUAUGGCCGAGCCUUCAUUUCUGCCCAGACAACUAUUUGAACAACACUUCGAGUCUGAGCAUUUUUGUAGAUGCACCUGAGAAGUUCUUCGUUCAAGAAUGAAUAUCCAUUCCGAUUUUUUCAUAUUUUUGGAAGCUAUGUGAGUAUAGUAUUCUACUACUUCCUCGAGGCAACAACCAAUGAAUAUUUCUCCUCCCAGCUUGACCAUAUUCCCAAUCACAGAAAGCUAGCAGAACUAUAAAUUUAGUUUCAAUUUGUAGCUCAUUGGACUGUGUUAUUUGUUGAGGAGAUUGUUGUUGCUAAUGGGAUUGUGGAUUCAUUUGUUGAAAUUUUGGAAUUUGAUGAUGAACUAGACGUGGAUAAGAAAGAACAUAUUAAGAGUGAGAUGUUUCCUGUUGUAACAGAAAAUUCCUUGUCCAAGUUGGUUUACAUCUUUAUUUGUAU
rnacentral:lncRNA from 1 species